rnacentral:lncRNA from 1 species
CCUGAAGAUGGCCGCGCAGGCCAGGGCUCCGGCACCCGGCUGCGGACCAGAUCCCCUGGGCUGCACCCGGCCUUGCGCCCCUGGUCCGCGCUCGCAGGCUCGGAAACGGGCGGUCCUCCCGAGGCUGAAAGUGCGCUACAUGGGGAACUGGACCAGAGCGUUCUGAAGCUUGCUUUACUAAGAUGGCACAAACGGGAAAAAAGGAAAAUGAAGUCCUAUUAAUAUGUUUAUGAUAGGAAGAAUAAUUAGAAAAGUAGAAUAAAAAAACUGAAGCAUGGUGAAAUCACAGUGUGUGAAUAUAUGCAAAGGAUACUCAAAGGUCAAGAAAAGUUCAAGAAUUGUCUCUGCAUGAUAGGGAAAUGCAACUUGCUCUGCCCGACGCCUAGAGUCUCUGGCUGCAGGUCUGGUCCUGGCCCCCUAGGAGGACUUCCCGAGGUCUUAGAUGGAGAGUGGCAGGGACAACCAUGCUUAGGUUGAGGCCUAUGAAAGGAGUGUUUUCAGCAGCAGAGCCACCAAACUAACAAGUCACUGAAUUUUAAAACUCUGGCCACGUGGCUUAGAGGACUCUGGGCAUUGCCCCUUUGCUACCAGCUCCAAAGAUCUGGGAAGAUCUCAUUUGGAUUAGUGACCACGGUUUGUGGGAAUCUUCGCAACCCAAAAAAGGCUGUUUAAAACAGGGGAAACACUGAGCUCUGGAAAUGGUUUAUUUGGCCAUCAGAAUUUUUUUUUUUUUUAAUGACCACCAUUUAAAAAUUCUUUUCAUAAAGUCCCAAAUUUUGGGGUUCCCUGGUGGUCUAGGGGUUAGGAUUUUGCACUUUUCAUUGCUGUGACCCAGGUUCAGUCCCUGGUCUGGAAACUUCCACAAGACAUGGGCAUGGCCACAAUUUUAAAAAAUAAAGUAGGGAGUUCCCAUUGUAGCUCAGUGGGAUAAGAAGUGACUAGUAUUCAUGAGGAUGUGGGUUGGGUCCCUGGCCUCGCUCAGUGGGUUGCUGUGAGCUGUGGUGUAGGUCACAGACAAGACUCGGAUCUUGCAUUGCUAUGGCCGUGGUGUAGGCUGCCAGCUGCAGCUCCAAUUUGACCCCUAGCCGAGGAACUUCCAUUUGCCCAGGUGUGGCCCUUAAAAAAAAUAAUAAUAAUAAAUUAAAUUAAAUUAAAAUCCCAAGUUUUUUUCAUUUUCCCGAAAAAUUUAGACUAUGACAACCCCAAAACCCUCAUUCUGACAAAACAAUACUGGACCGGGUCCCCAGGAGCGUGUUUGGUCUCAGGGUGGGACAUGAGCCGUGGUCCUGACAGCAGCGCUCACAUAGUAACUGGCCUGAGACUGGUGAGGAUGGGAAUUUUCCACCAGGGGUCAAGGGUCUCCCGGGAAAAGUCAGGGCUCUCUGGGCAGGUUUUCUUCAACCAAGCAGCCUCUGGGUACUGUGGGCAGUGGGCAGGAGUGGAUGAAGGAAGAAGAUGAACUCCACCUCAAGGAAAUGCAAACUCCUAACCCUGACGAGCCAAGCCCCAGGCACCCAGGCUUGAGACACUGUGACCCACCGUGACCCACCACCCAGAGAAACAGAAGCCUUGGCCGAGAAGCCUGCACAGAGCCUGGUCACGUGUCCAGAGCUGGCAUGAAGACCAGGGAAUGGCGGGGGCGGGAGAGAAGAAUGUGUCCUGUGUCCCUCUGUCCUUCCACUGGGCCUGACAAGAAAGAAAACAAACCCCAACUCUCACUCGGAAGAAACGAAACUCCCACCCGCCCCUGCAGCCUAACUCCCCACGGACCAAAUGCUAGCUGAGUGGGUGUCAGCCGCAGCCGCGCAUCUGUUCUAACAUUUGCACUGCAGCCAGUGACACCGGAAUUUCGGGGCGGAGGAGGGGGAGCGUCUAAGCCUCCGUAGGUUUCAAGUGUGAUUCCCGUGGGGUGAGAACCAGUGCACCGGAGCCCUGCUUCUCUGCCUUGAACCAUGCCCCUGACUCACUGGGGAGCCGGUCAAAAAUGCAGAACCUGAGUGGUAGGCGGUCCAAGGUCCGCCGUGGAGCCUGAGCUCCUGCCCUUCACCAAGUUCAGAGGCGCAGCCCGUGCUGCAGAUCCCCGGCCACACUUUGAGUGACAAGAAACUACAGCCUCUUCCUCUGUCAUUCUCUUUUCAAGUACUUUAGCAGGGAUGACCCCAGGUCAGUCACCUCUAAACCUAAUAAUAAUAGUAUUCAAAUACUGUAAACUAAGUGUAACAAUAUUGAAUAGUAUUAAAGUACUACAAAGUACUGC